rnacentral:rRNA from 1 species
GUGGGGAAUAUUGGUCAAUGGGCGCAAGCCUGAUCCAGCCAUGCCGCGUGAGUGAUGAAGGCCCUAGGGUUGUAAAGCUCUUUCACCGGAGAAGAUAAUGACGGUAACCGGAGAAGAAGCCCCGGCUAACUUCGUGCCAGCAGCCGCGGUAAUACGAAGGGGGCUAGCGUUGUUCGGAAUUACUGGGCGUAAAGCGCACGUAGGCGGACAUUUAAGUCAGGGGUGAAAUCCCAGAGCUCAACUCUGGAACUGCCUUUGAUACUGGGUGUCUUGAUUAUGGAAGAGAUAAGUAGAAUGCCGAGUGUAGAGGUGAAAUUCGUAGAUAUUCGUAGGAACAACAGUGGCGAAGGCGGCUUACUGGUCCAUUACUGACGCUGAGGUGCGAAAGCGUGGGGAGCAAACAGGAUUAGAUACCCGUGUAGUCC